rnacentral:rRNA from 1 species
GUCCACGCCGUAAACGAUGCUAACUCGUUUUGGGCUUUCGGGUUCAGAGACUAAGCGAAAGUGAUAAGUUAGCCACCUGGGGAGUACGUUCGCAAGAAUGAAACUCAAAGGAAUUGACGGGGCCCGCACAAGCGGUGGAUUAUGUGGUUUAAUUCGAUGAUACGCGAGGAACCUUACCAAGACUUAAAUGGGAAAUGACAGAUUUAGAAAUAGAUCCUUCUUCGGACAUUUUUCAAGGUGCUGCAUGGUUGUCGU